rnacentral:rRNA from 1 species
GAGUUAGACCUGCCCAGUGAUAUUUUUAACGGCCGCAGAAAUUUAACUGUGCUAAGGUAGCAUAAUCAUUUGUUGUUUAAAUGGCAACUAGUAUGAAUGGCUCAAUGAUUCUUGACUGUCUUAUUUUUACAUAACAAAAAUUGCUAUUUAAGUCAAAAAUCUUAAAUCUAAAUAAAAGACAAAAAGACCCUAUAGAGUUUUUAUUUUCUAUUUAAAAAUAAAUUUAAGAAAAUUUUAGUUGGGGCAACUGAAAAUUUAAACUUAUUUUCAAAAUAAUUAAUAAAUUUAAUCAUUAAUAUUAAUAAAUUUAAUAAAUUACCUUAGGGAUAACAGAAUAAUUUUUCUUUUAGAGCCCUAAUCGACAAGAAAAUUUAUGACCUCGAUG